AGAGUUUGAUCAUGGCUCAGGAUGAACGCUAGCGGCAGGCUUAACACAUGCAAGUCGAGGGGCAGCNNNNNGUAGCAAUACUCUGGCGGCGACCGGCGGAAGGGUGCGUAACACGUGAGCAACUUGCCCGUAUCAGGGAGAUAACCGGUGGAAACGCCGCCUAAUAUCCCAUAACAACGGGGGUCGCAUGACCCCUGUUUGAAAGACACGUCGGAUACGGAUGGGCUCGCGGGACAUUAGCUAGUUGGAGUGGCAACGGCACACCAAGGCUACGAUGUCUAGGGGUUCUGAGAGGAAGGUCCCCCACAUUGGAACUGAGACACGGUCCAAACUCCUACGGGAGGCAGCAGUGAGGAAUAUUGGUCAAUGGGCGCAAGCCUGAACCAGCCAUGCCGCGUGAAGGAAUGAGGCCCUAUGGGUCGUAAACUUCUUUUGUGGCGGAGCAAUAAGGUCCACGUGUGGGCCGAUGAGAGUACGUCACGAAUAAGCAUCGGCUAACUCCGUGCCAGCAGCCGCGGUAAUACGGAGGAUGCAAGCGUUAUCCGGAUUUAUUGGGUUUAAAGGGUGCGUAGGCUGUUCGACAAGUCAGGGGUGAAAGCCCGGUGCUCAACACCGGAAAUGCCUUUGAUACUGCCGAGCUGGAAUACGGAUGCCGUGGGAGGAAUGAGUAGUGUAGCGGUGAAAUGCAUAGAUAUUACUCAGAACACCGAUUGCGAAGGCAUCUCACGAAUCCGUCAUUGACGCUGAGGCACGAAAGCGUGGGGAUCAAACAGGAUUAGAUACCCUAGUAGUCC
rnacentral:rRNA from 1 species